CUGCGAGUGCUCAGUCCAAGUUGGGCAAGUUGGUGUUUUAAAUUUCUUUCUAUGAAAGUCUGAUACGGGUCCCCCUAAACUUCUGUUAGAACGGUGGGAAACAUUGCUCCUGUGAGAACAGUAUAGUGGACUUCACCGCCACUGACCCACAUUUAUUAGGGUGUGACACGAACUUGUGGACAGAGUACCGAGCUGCUGCUUUGCCAGGUGGAUUUCUGGCUGCGGGCAAAGGACCCGACACAUCAGUGUGUUUUAAUUUGUUUUAUACUGGUGUAAUUCGACAGACUGUGACUGCUGCGGCUGUCGAUUUUGUUUGUUUCUUGUUUUAUUUUUCUGUAUCAGUAGGCAUUACAGAGAUUGAUUCUUGUAGUAUUUUAACCCUGUGUGUGUGUGUGUGUGUGUGUGCUUUUCACCGAAGCACUUCCAGCUUAAAAUAUCACAUGCCAUACUCUGCACAGAUGUUUCUGUAUACUGUGUACUGUCCACUUGAUUAUGGCGUUCCACCCUACUGUUAUGUGCUGGAUUAACUUAGGGGCAUCUUUACACAGCCUGUACCUGGGAUCUUAGCUGGUGUGGUAGUCCCCAGCCUCUACGCAUCUUUUGCUGAGAGCUGAUUCUGACUCUGAUUGCUCCUGUGCAGCCAUGAUUAGUGCUUCUGUGUUAUCUUUCAGUUCUUGCCUAACCCUCUGCAGGUACUUGGUGGUUGCAGCUUUCCUAGCAGCCUCUUCAUGGUUCACAUUUGCCUGUGUGAUUCCCAGAGGGUAGGUAUCCAUAGCUAGUCUUAUCAGUGAUCUGAAUGAGGGGGUUCACACCUAUGUAGAACAGCAGUGGGGACAGAGCACCU